GUAGGGUGCGAGCGUUAAUCGGAAUUACUGGGCGUAAAGCGUGCGCAGGCGGUCUUGUAAGACAGAGGUGAAAUCCCUGGGCUCAACCUAGGAAUGGCCUUUGUGACUGCAAGGCUGGAGUGCGGCAGAGGGGGAUGGAAUUCCGCGUGUAGCAGUGAAAUGCGUAGAUAUGCGGAGGAACACCGAUGGCGAAGGCAGUCCCCUGGGCCUGCACUGACGCUCAUGCACGAAAGCGUGGGGAGCAAACAGGAUUAGAUACCCUGGUAGUCCACGCCCUAAACGAUGUCGACUGGUUGUUGGGCCUUAGGUGGCUCAGUAACGAAGCUAACGCGUGAAGUCGACCGCCUGGGGAGUACGGCCGCAAGGUUG
rnacentral:rRNA from 1 species